AGUGGGCGUGACAAAGCACCGCUAUGAGAGCUGUCGGUGUUUUGCUGUGCUUUUCUGUGUUUACGGGAGUCUUCAUGGAGGACAAAGAAGCCCCACGUUUUCAAGCAUGCCUCGGGCUGGAGGUGUAUGAGGGGGCGGAGUCUGUCAUGCUGUUCUCAGAUGGACAGCAAGUGGAGAGUGAUAUAUGAAAUGAAGAGAUGAAGGGGGAAGACAAGCAAAGAUCUCAGAUCAGCACAGUCCUGCCCUCCUGCUCUAUCAGCAGCAGAAACCCCUAAUCAGCAACAUUGUACCCCAUCAGGUAAAACAUAGGCCACCUUUGCAUUGCCUUGUCGCCAUCUCACAACAGUGAUAUAGUAUAAUGCGAUACCAUAUUAGAUUCUGAAUGUAUGUUGUUGUUAUUCAGCCUGGUUCAAUGUGCCCCUUUUUAACUUUGAGCGCCCGCCCCUUUAAAAGUCACCUGAUUUGACUUUGACUUUCAGUUAAAACUUUGAAUUCAAAUAGUGUAAAAUGAAUUGUGGACACAAAACUGACUAAC